rnacentral:rRNA from 1 species
CGCAUCUGUGCAUGCAGCAUAUCAAUAAGCGGAGGAAAAGUACCUACGCUUAGGAUGUUGACACACGCGCGUGCUCGACUCUAUACAUGACUCUGCGCAUAUCAAUAAGCGGAGGAAAAGAAACUAACAAGGAUUCCCUUAGUAACGGCGAGUGAAGCGGGAAGAGCUCAAAUUUGAAAUCUUCAAGGUUUUACCUUGACGAAUUGUAGUUUAAAGAAGUGUGUUCUGUUGAAGUUUUGGUAAAAGUUCUUUGGAAUAGGACAUCAUAGAGGGUGAGAAUCCCGUAUUUGACCAUUAUUUUCAGCUGUGUGAUACACUUUCAAAGAGUCGGAUUGUUUGGGAAUGCAGUCCAAAAUGGGUGGUAAAUUUCAUCUAAAGCUAAGUAUUGGCGAGAGACCGAUAGCGAACAAGUACCGUGAGGGAAAGAUGAAAAGAACUUUGAAAAGAGAGUUAAACAGUACGUGAAAUUGUCAAAAGGGAAGCGUUUGACACCAGUGUUGUUUUCUCGAAAAUCAAUUAAAAAGAGUUAGAUUUUGUUGUGUAUUGACCUUAACAGCUUGCAUUUCAAUUUUCUUGCUUUUUUUAAUGCACUUUUCGUUUAACAAGUCAACAUCAGUUUCUUUUGUUGUAAAAAGGUCAUUGGAAGGUGGCUUCCUUUUCGGAGAAGGUGUUUAUAGCCUUUGACUCCUGCAAUCGGAGAGACUGAGGUCUGCAGCGUAGAUCCUUCGGGGUUAGAUACAUUUGUGCUAAGUUAUAGCUUUUUAUAGACAACUUGUUGACUAUGAUUAGUCUUGUAGCUUACUCGCUUAUGCUAUUUUACCUACGCUUAGGAUGUUGACACACGCGCGUGCUCG